rnacentral:rRNA from 1 species
GAUGAACGCUGGCGGCGUGCCUAAUACAUGCAAGUCGAGCGAACGGACGAGAAGCUUGCUUCUCUGAUGUUAGCGGCGGACGGGUGAGUAACACGUGGAUAACCUACCUAUAAGACUGGGAUAACUUCGGGAAACCGGAGCUAAUACCGGAUAAUAUUUUGAACCGCAUGGUUCAAAAGUGAAAGACGGUCUUGCUGUCACUUAUUGAUGGAUCCGCGCUGCAUUAGCUAGUUGGUAAGGUAACGGCUUACCAAGGCAACGAUGCAUAGCCGACCUGAGAGGGUGAUCGGCCACACUGGAACUGAGACACGGUCCAGACUCCUACGGGAGGCAGCAGUAGGUAAUCUUCCGCAAUGGGCGAAAGCCUGACGGAGCAACGCCGCGUGAGUGAUGAAGGUCUUCGGAUCGUAAAACUCUGUUAUUAGGGAAGAACAUAUGUGUAAGUAACUGUGCACAUCUUGACGGUACCUAAUCAGAAAGCCACGGCUAACUACGUG